rnacentral:rRNA from 1 species
UACAGAGGUCUCAAGCGUUGUUCGGAUUCAUUGGGCGUAAAGGGUGCGUAGGCGGCGCGGUAAGUCGGGUGUGAAAUCUCGGAGCUUAACUCCGAAACUGCAUUCGAUACUGCCGUGCUUGAGGACUGGAGAGGAGACUGGAAUUUACGGUGUAGCGGUGAAAUGCGUAGAUAUCGUAAGGAAGACCAGUGGCGAAGGCGGGUCACUGGUCCGCAACUGACGCUGAGGCGCGAAAGCGUGGGGAGCAAACAGG